AUAAGCGCAUAGAUGUCCCAACGGAGUCACGGUAGCACUUGUCUAAAUGCGACCCGUGACAUUCUCCCCCACUGAUAAUGUCGACGUCCUCGUCGACGUGCCCCACUGCACUGCCGACUUUGGAAUCACGAUAGCACUCACUUAUGUGCAAUCCGUGACAUUCUCCCCCACUGAUAAUGGCGACGUCCUCGUCGACUUGCCCACUGCAUUGCUGCAUAACAACACCAUAUAGGAUUAUCCUCUUCUCUUCGCUCCAAGGACCACAAAGCACCACUGCCUUAACCCUUUUCAACUUUCUCUUUCAAAGUUGUACUCCUUUCCCUAUUCUUGGGCCGAGACCUCUGUCUCUUGUCGCACUCAACCUUUGAACAAUCACAUAGCUCGUUGGUCAAGUACUUCCACAUUUUCCACAUUCAAAGAGAUGCACCCCACUUGGGUGUGACUCGUAAGCCAACCGUGUGUCCUCCACGGCACCUCCAUUCCGUGCAUCUGCACUGCCAUACCUUCAUGGCAUUCAAGGUUCUCCCCUACUUAUCUCAUCAGCACCCAUCACCUCAGGGUGCCUCCAUAGCAAAGUUCCACAACACUUAGGCCAUCACAAUUCACCAAGGUUAAACAUCAUCCCUACUACGAGUAGAACCACCUGACUACCAACGCCCCAAACUCGGACUCGGCAGAACCACUUCUAUAGCAUCCACACGGGAACAAGCAAGAUGUCAACACCCAAGUUACUCCAACUUUGUCUGCCAUCAAGUGCGGACAUACUCCAUGUCCUUAGCAACCAUGCCCUCAAGUAAGAUUCCGGGAUCCCCCUUUUUUGGAACACUCCAUCGUUCCGGAUAUCAAUUAGCAAACUUAUGUCAAACAUUGUGCCUCACCCACCCGUUCUCAACAAUUGUAAAAGCAACCACUUAAGUGACUCCCUCAUUAAAGCCUAG
rnacentral:lncRNA from 1 species